UUCCGGNUGAUCCNGCCGGAAGUUACUGCUUUCGGAGUUCGACUAAGCCAUGCAAGUCAUAUGUUCCUCGUGAACAUGGCAUACUGCUCAGUAACACGUGGAUAACCUGCCCUUGGGUCUGGGAUAACCCCGGGAAACUGGGGAUAAUACCGGAUGACGCAUAUGUGCUGGAAUGCUUUAUGCGUAAAACGGAUUCGUCCGCCCAAGGAUGGGUCUGCGGCCUAUCAGGUAGUAGUGGGUGUAAUGUACCUACUAGCCAACAACGGGUACGGGUUGUGAGAGCAAGAGCCCGGAGAUGGAUUCUGAGACAUGAAUCCAGGCCCUACGGGGCGCAGCAGGCGCGAAAACUUUACAAUGCGGGAAACCGUGAUAAGGGAACACCGAGUGCCAGCAUCAUAUGCUGGCUGUCCAGAUGUGUAAACUACAUCUGUUAGCAAGGGCCGGGCAAGACCGGUGCCAGCCGCCGCGGUAACACCGGCGGCCCGAGUGGUGACCGUUAUUAUUGGGUCUAAAGGGUCCGUAGCCGGUUUGGUCAGUCCUCCGGGAAAUCUGAUAGCUUAACUGUUAGGCUUUCGGGGGAUACUGCCAGGCUUGGAACCGGGAGAGGUAAGAGGUACUACAGGGGUAGGAGUGAAAUCUUGUAAUCCCUGUGAGA
rnacentral:rRNA from 1 species